GCUUACGGCCAACCUCCCUGAGCACGCCCGAUCUCGUCUGAUCUCGGAAGCUAAGCAGGGUCGGGCCGCCCGGGUUAGUACUUUGGAUGGGAGACAGCCUGGAAUACCAGGUGCUGUAAGCC
rnacentral:rRNA from 1 species